CGCGGGGCUCCCGCCACGCCGCCGGCCGGGGCCGGGGUUCGGGCUCAGCCGUAGGCCGGGUGCGUGGGUGGGUGGGUUUUUCUUUCCUUAGCCCCCCCCUCCCCCCCCCUUCGGUGUUUUUUUACCCCUGCUAGGCGAGCUGCUGUAGUCAGCCGGGUAACGCGGCGGUGCCGGUGCGGGGAGGCAAGGGAGCGUGGAAAGUGGCGGGUUUCGCCUUUGUUUUAAGGGCUCCGGCGGCGGCGUCCCUGGGGCGGUGAAAUGCAGGACGAGUGCCGGGCGGAGAGCAGCUCCGCCGCCCCGCUGCCUCGGCGAGAGCGUAGAGAAAGGGAUGUCCGCGGUGCCUCGGGGCUGGCCGAGCUGCAGGGGCUCUGCGGCCGGAGACGGUGGAUUCGAGGGAAGAGGACGGGAUGCGCAGUAACGGGCGCCCGGCAGCGGCGUUAGGGGAGGGGGGGGCAGGAGACGGAGCGCGCCCCGGGAGCCCGCGGACGCUGGCGCCGCGCGGGGAGGCGCCCCGCCGAGCUGCAAUGGACGCUGCCCGCCGCUGGCCGCAGAGCGGAGCCGCCCCGCCGCCGAGGGAGAGCCGCUCGCCAGGAGCCGGCCUGCAGCGCGCCCCUCGCCCGGCGCCCAGGAGGGACGGGGGUCUCCUCUUCGGCAACGCUCCGGUGAACGUAGGCUCUGCAGCCGGCCGCCCAGAUAGGUUGCAUGGCAGCCACGGCUCGAGCGAAUAGAACUCCUUGGAUGAAUUGGAAGUAAGCACCGGGAGUGUUUGGUGAUGUCCGUGGGAGGAAGGCACGAGCCACCAAGGCCCCUUUCCCUCCAUCUUGAGCCUUCCAUGGUGAUCUGCAGCAGCACAGGGAAGUGAAGCACUGAGGGACUGCAGUCAGUGUUUAAACCUGACUUCAGCGUAAAUAACUGCAAGCUUCAGAUCAGCGGAGGACCAGGGGUAGAAUAGCAGAAGUAGUUAAGGUGCCUCUUAAAAGUUCUCUUUUGUGUAUCUAAAGAUUAAGGAGCUAUUUAGAAAAGAUGACUCUCCACGUGUGUUUAUGUUUACUGUCCUAACAGAAGAUGAUGGUCAGCAUUAUCUUACACACCAGAAACAUCGUCUUGGGUGAAUCUGCAUCACCCUAUUGAUUUCAGGGGAGCUAUAUCAAUUUAAGUUAGUUAAACUAACCCAGCUAAGUUUUAAAUAAUUGGAAUAAUAUUCUCCCUCUCUUUCAGUCAGAUUUGCCCUUCAUGUUACUUGUGUUUCAUAAUCCUCCUAGCUCUCCAUUUCAUCAUUACAAGACCAGCAUCUCUGUUAAAAAAAAAAGGGGGGGGGGGGGGGGGGGGAGAAAAAGAUCCCUUUUAAAAUAGUCUUUUCGCAAUCUGAUCUUUAUUUUCAUGUUUAAAUAAAUUUAGGGCACAAGCUCAUCCUGGUUUUUUUUUUUUAAUAGGCCAAUAUAGUUUCAUUUACUUACACUAGUAUUUUUUAGAGCCAGAAGCUGUCUGGAAGAGAAUGUGUUCACUGCACCAGAACCCUUUAGGGUUUUGAUAAAAGACAUGAUAUCAUGAGUAACAUCUCCACUUCUAUUAUUCUUCUUAUAUAGUAGCGAUAAGAUUGAAUCACCAUUUUUAGCUAUUCUUCAGCAGAACUCGUAAUCUAUCAAUGUGUCAGCUCAACAGCAGUUUUCUCUUCACACUAAUGUGAACCAGAAGGUCCAGCUAUCACUGAUUUUGACAAUUUUAUUUUAUCUGAGAUUGUAUGUAUUGCAGAAGUUUGAAGACAAUGAAUUAUAGGUUCUAUUAUAUUUUCAUAAAGAUGUACAAAACAUAAAAUAUGUCAUCUAAAACAUUUCAAAGUCAUUUGUACCGGAUAACAUUCCUAAGUUAGGUGUUUCAUAACCCUUAAGCUAUAAGCACUAUUAAGUAUUUGUGUGAUAAAUAACAAGUAUAAGAUCAAA